UACGUAGGUGGCAAGCGUUGUCCGGAUUUACUGGGCGUAAAGGGCGUGCAGGCGGUUUGUCUAGUCUAGGGUGAAAGCUCCCAGCUUAACUGGGAGAGGUCCUUGGAUACUGGCAAACUUGAGGGAGGCAGAGGAAAGUGGAAUUCCCGGUGUAGUGGUGAUAUGCGUAGAUAUCGGGAGGAACACCAGUGGCGAAGGCGGCUUUCUGGGCCUUACCUGACGCUGAGACGCGAAAGCGUGGGGAGCGAACCGG
rnacentral:rRNA from 1 species